AUAAAACAAAACCAUGCAAAAAUGAUAUGAUAACAGGCAGAUCUAAAAAUAGCUUAUUAAAAAUUAGAGAAAUAACAUGGCAUAAACUUUUGAAAAGGCAAAAGCAAAGAGAGAAUUAGUAAAUCAAAAAAAUAGACCUGAGACAUUAUGAAAAAGCAGUUCAGAGAAAGGGAAGGAGGAUUGAGGAGGUGAAAGGUAUAGCAGAAGCUCCAGAAGAAGAGAGAAAAGAGUGAAGUAGCAACAGUUGAAGAGACUUUGGCUAUGCAUUUUUCAGUGUUGAAGACACAAGUCUCAGAUGACAAAUGUAAUCCAGGUUCUAAGAAGGAUGAAUGAAAAUAAAUGCAUACUUAGAUACAUCUUAGUAAACUUGAAGAUAAGGAGAAAAUAUUAUAAAGUUUUAGUUAUGCAAGAUGAAUAAGUUCUAGAGAUCAGGUGUACAACAUUGUGCCUGUAGUUAACAGUACUGUGUUUUGUACAUAAACAUUUGUUGAGAGAGUAGAUCUCAUGCUAUGUUCUUACCACAAUAAAACACAAAGCAAAACAAAAAACUAUUUGAAGGAAAAAUCAGAUUCUUAAAGAAUGGCCUUGGCCGGGCGCGGUGGCUCAUGCCUGUUAUCCCAGCACUUUGGGAGCCCAAGGCGGGCGGAUCACCUGAGAUCGGGCGUUCGAGACCAGCCUGACCAACAUGGAGAAACCCUGUCUCUACUAAAAAUACAAAAUAAAAAUACAAAAUUAGCCGGGCAUGGUGGCACAUGCCUGUAAUUCC
rnacentral:lncRNA from 10 species